rnacentral:piRNA from 1 species
UGAAAAAGGGUCAGGGAAAGUUGGACUUGC